AAAGAGGCAAUUGCAUUUGUAGUCAUCUAUUUGACGAAUCCCAACUGAAGUUCAAAACAGUAGAAAAAAGGACAAAGAGGGCAAAGAGAAGGAGAGGUGCAACCCUCCAAAUAAGCAGACAUUGCCCAGAGGUAUAUAGGCAGGAUGUUCUAAACAGGAAUUUUAAGUAUCAGAUACUGACAUAUUUGUAAAGUCCUUUUCCCCUUGUCUACAAAAAUGACAUCCACGUUGCCACAGCCUUUUCUCAAGUGACAAGUACAAACCAACACAGGUGUUAGUGAAAGAAGGGCCCACCAAAAAAUGGGGAAAAGUUAAAAAUAUAUGCAUAGAGAUAAAAGAUAACAGUUUGGCAAGGAUGACAGCUUGUUUGCAGCCGAGGCCCCAUUGUCACAUCAUAUAUCCUUCUACAAGCUUGCUCUCAUGCUCCAGCUGUGCC
rnacentral:lncRNA from 10 species